rnacentral:rRNA from 1 species
CAGUCGCCGCGGUAAUACGAAGGGUGCAAGCGUUACUCGGAAUUACUGGGCGUAAAGCGUGCGUAGGUGGUGGUUUAAGUCCGUUGUGAAAGCCCUGGGCUCAACCUGGGAAUUGCAGUGGAUACUGGGUCACUAGAGUGUGGUAGAGGAUAGUGGAAUUUCCGGUGUAGCAGUGAAAUGCGUAGAGAUCGGAAGGAACAUCUGUGGCGAAGGCGACUAUCUGGGCCAACACUGACACUGAGGCACGAAAGCGUGGGGAGCAAAUAGGAUUAGAUACCCCGGUAGUCCCUGUCUCUUAGAC